AUACGGAGGGUGCGAGCGUUAAUCGGAAUUACUGGGCGUAAAGGGUGCGUAGGCGGUUUGAUAAGUCGGAUGUGAAAGCCCCGGGCUUAACCUGGGAAUGGCAUUCGAUACUGUCAGGCUAGAGUAUGUCAGAGGUUGGCGGAAUUCCUGGUGUAGCGGUGAAAUGCGUAGAUAUCAGGAGGAACACCAGUGGCGAAGGCGGCUAACUGGGGCAAUACUGACGCUGAGGCACGAAAGCGUGGGGAGCAAACAGGAUUAGAAACCCCAGUAGUCC
rnacentral:rRNA from 1 species